rnacentral:tRNA from 1 species
UCCAUUGCUCAGUUGGUAAAGCACAAAGCUCUUAACCUUGUGGGACGUGGGUUCAAGCCCUACGAUGGAA